rnacentral:rRNA from 1 species
GGCUUAGAGUUUGAUCAUGGCUCAGGAUGAACGCUGGCGGCGUGCUUAACACAUGCAAGUCGAACGAAGCUUGAUCCCGGAUCCCUUCGGGGUGACGGGUGAUAUGACUGAGUGGCGGACGGGUGAGUAACGCGUGGGCAACCUGCCUCAUACAGGGGGAUAACAGUUAGAAAUGACUGCUAAGACCGCAUAAGACCACAGCACCGCAUGGUGGAGUGGUAAAAGCUCCGGUGGUAUGAGAUGGGCCCGCGUCUGAUUAGCUGGUUGGUGAGGUAACGGCUCUACCAAGGCAACGAUCAGUAGCCGGCUUGAGAGAGUGAACGGCCACAUUGGGACUGAGACACGGCCCAAACUCCUACGGGAGGCAGCAGUGGGGAAUAUUGCACAAUGGGGGAAACCCUGAUGCAGCGACGCCGCGUGAGUGAAGAAGUAUUUCGGUAUGUAAAGCUCUAUCAGCAGGGAAGAAAAUGACGGUACCUGACUAAGAAGCCCCGGCUAACUACGUGCCAGCAGCCGCGGUAAUACGUAGGGGGCAAGCGUUAUCCGGAAUUACUGGGUGUAAAGGGUGCGUAGGUGGCAGGGCAAGUCAGAAGUGAAAACCCGGGGCUCAACUCCGGGACUGCCUUUGAAACUGUCCAGCUAGAGUGCAGGAGAGGUAAGCG